AGAGUUUGAUCAUGGCUCAGGACGAACGCUGGCGGCGUGCCUAACACAUGCAAGUCGAACGGAGAUAUUUAGAAGCUUGCUUUUGGAUAUCUUAGUGGCGGACGGGCGAGUAACGCGUGAGCAACCUGUCCUUCAGAGGGGGACGAACGGCUGGAAACGGCCGCUAAUACCGCAUGACAUACCUGGAUGGCAUCGUCCGGGUAUCAAAGGAGAAAUCCGCUGAAGGGUGGGCUCGCGUCCGAUUAGCUAG
rnacentral:rRNA from 1 species